rnacentral:lncRNA from 1 species
GUGUUGACUACCGUAAAUAUAUUUCUGGAGACCAUGAUUUCUUUUUGUUUACUUUGAGCUGAUCUACAGGUGAUGAAUGAAGGACCUGGACAUGUUCCAAUGCACAAGAUUCCUGAAAACAUGCAAAAACAGCUAGAAUGGUGUAAUGAAGCACCUUUCUACACUCUUGGUCCUUUAACAACCGAUAUUGCCCCUGGUUACGAUCACAUCACCUCUGCUAUUGGUGCUGCAAAUAUCGGCGCACUUGGUACUGCUCUUCUCUGUUAUGUGACUCCAAAAGAACAUCUCGGGUUGCCAAACCGAGAUGAUGUGAAGGCUGGAGUUAUAGCUUACAAGAUAGCUGCUCAUGCUGCUGAUUUAGCCAAACAACAUCCACACGCUCAAGAAUGGGACGAUGCCUUAAGCAAGGCGAGAUUCGAAUUUCGAUGGAUGGACCAGUUUGCUUUGUCAUUGGAUCCAAUGACAGCCAUGUCCUUCCACGAUGAAACAUUGCCGUCAGAAGGUGCAAAGGUGGCACAUUUCUGCUCAAUGUGUGGCCCUAAAUUCUGCUCUAUGAAGAUAACUGAGGAUGUCCGGAAGUAUGCUGAGAAACAUGGGUAUGGGGAGGAUGUUGAGGAAGCUUUGAAGCAGGGGAUGAAUGCUAUGAGUGCAGAAUUUCUCGCUGCGAAGAAAACGAUCAGUGGAGAACAACAUGGUGAAGCUGGUGGAGAGAUUUACUUGCCAGAAUCUUACAUAAGUUCUAAGGAGGGGUAAGGCUUAGUAUAUUGUAUAACAUUUUUUAUAAGCCUUGCAUUUUCACUUAAUAUAGAUUAAAAAGAUAAGUUGUGAAUCAAGUAUAUAAAGAUGCUAAUAAGAAAACUUUUACCGAGUAGGAAACUUAAUAUAGAAUAUUUCAUACAUCAUAAUCCACAUUAUUAUACAAAUCACGCGGUCCCUUUGAUUGAUUACUUCACAUAUCAUAAUCCAAGUACUUUUUUUUUUUUGCAGGGCUAUAUAAAUGUUGCAAAUCAUUCGAGAGAACUUGGAGCUAGAUACACAACUGGCCCGCCAGGAUGGUGAUGUAUUUUCAAGCUAUUGAAUAAUACAAAGUUUAGUUUGUGAACAACUUUUAAGAACUUCAUCUUUAUUCUACUUUUGUUGUGUUAUCCAAUUCUCAGCAAUAAAUUGCAUUACUAUCAAAUCAUCAUGUUUGUUGCAAUCUUUAUCUUUUGGGAAGUUAUUAACUUGCGAGAUGCACCAGGGGUGCCUGUAUCUGCAUGAGCUCUGGCUAUUAAGCUAGCACGCUAGCAGUUCGGGCUGAGACAGUCCCUUCGAACCUGAUCAGGGUGAUGCCUGCGUAGGGAGCGUGCAUUAUUUUUUCGUUUUUGUUAUAUUUCUGCAGGAAAUAUGUGUUAUAUACUAGUUGCAGAAGAGGCUACAGCAUGUUGGUCGUGCCAAUUGCUCACGGUUGGAAAGUAGCUGAACUUGAAGAAAUAUACUGCAUGAUCUGAAAUAUUAGUUUCCUAUUGUUAAUAUUAAUAAUAUAUAGAAUGCAGGUCUUAUAAUACAUCAUAAAAUAUACUAAUCCUCUCAUAAUCAUGAAAUCUGAAGUUUUCACUGACGGAACUAUGUGAGGUACGGAUUUGGCUUAAUAUCUGAGUUUGAAUAAUACCUGAUAUUGAUCGAACAGUCACCGAUGUGGUUGACUGCGUGCAAUCACUGGAUUGUGACUACAGACAGUCAAAAUCCGCGAAGUACACAAAUAUCAUCGUAAUCUUGCAUGUCUAAUAAAAUAUAGCUCCCAUUAUCUUUUUGGUUAAAAGAUUACAGUAUUAUAUCUUCAUCGUUAGAUUGAUCCUCCAACGAUUGGGUUGUCGUAAUCGUCUCCUAACCUCGUCAUGGGUUUGUGAAAGAUUGAUAUCAGGUAACCAAAAUCCCACUAUGUCUUUUCCUAAGUAAAGUAUCAUGAAAGUGUUCUCUACAUAGUCAAUGAGGAAUAAGAAAAACAAGUUUCUUUGCUCAUUUGUGUUUCCUUUUCACCCAUUACAUAUUCCACUUUUCUCACCAUCCUUUACCCACUUUUUUGGCACUAGUAUUUGUACCUUCUAUACACCUCUUUCAUGACAGAUAAAAACUCACAAGAAAAACACACACAUACUUGUUUCCUAAUUAAUUAGGGUCUAAUAAAGAUCACAAAAAUUUCAUACACAAUCUCUCAAGUCUCAACCAAGAAAAAUGUAUCAUUAUAUAGCAAAAGAAAAUUUAUAAACAUGGCUAACUAAAUCAGAACCUUCCUAUUUCCUCAUUUCCAACCAUUCUAACGACUAUGUUGUUGGGUCUUACCUACUAAAAUUCCUUUUAUCUUUUACCACAUAACAUGACAAACUAAUUCCCUCUUCUUUUCACUCCCUUCAUUGUAUAUAACACAAUCACCAUGCAAAUGAAAAUAUAAGAGAAAUAAAUAAGUUGCACAAGCUACUUUGAGAAAACUAGCAUGUCAUGGAAAAAGAGCAUUAAGAAGAGAGCAGAAAGAAACUUGCAUGGGAAAUGCUGCAUAACAAGGAUACCUUGGAGGUUUGAAUUUUUCCCUAUUGAGUUUCUGAAGGGUGUUGGAGAAAGAGUUACAAAAGCUAUGUGCUUGUCAUCUGUGAGAAGAUCUUCAAACCGAGUAUCGCCUUCUUCCAUGGGAAGAUCAAAGACUAUAGGUGUCUCUGUUGAUUAUUUUAGGGCAGCUGCUGUUGAGGAUUGCAUUGAGCUCUUCCACAUCCAAUCUUCCUUUUCUAGAUCAAAUUCUUUAACCAUUCCGCCUCGAGAAGAGUUUACGCGUUUUUCUUUUAGAAAGUUUGAUUAAUAGAAUCUGAAACAUCAACCAUUCAUGCGUGCUUGCUAAGAUAUAUCAAGGUCUAUCCUAUUGAAAGUGGUAAGAAUUACUGAAUAACAAUGGUGUAACACUAAAAAGGUUACUUUUCCAUUAAUGUGUCAUAUAUGUGUGCUAUGUAAAUAUGAAGUGUGUUUUUUUCAAUAAGGAUUUCUUGACAAGCAUCAAGUUUGAAUGUUUUUAAGCUGACCAUUUUGCUAGAGAAUGUAUCCGAGUCCAAAUAAUGUAUGUUUGGAUUGACGGUGAAUUUGACCAAAUUAUGGACUACCGUGAUUUUGAAGCUCCUAACAUUAUUUAUCUUUUUACCAAAAUCACAUUAGUCCAUGUGAUUAUGCCUAACUCACUUUCAAUUUAAACAUAACUUAAAAAUGUAAUUCAAUAUUAGACACAUAUGAAAAGAGAAAAAUUAUAAGCAAAACAUUUCAGUGCAUCUAACGAUUUUUGAUGAGUUUGACGAAAUUAAUAUGACACUUUAUUUUAUUGAAGUUCCAAAGUAUAAUUUUAGUCAAAAUCAUGACAAAAGAUCAUGAUUCUACCAAACUCCUGUCAAAUGUCAAUCCAUUAGGGUGUUGCACAUUUUGUUAGUAGAUUCCACUUAAAGAUGGGAACUUUUAAUUAUAAUUAUAUCACUUAUUUAAUGUUUUCAAAAUUGAGCCUUUUGAUCACAAUUGCAUCUAAAUAUCUGUUUGAAAGCAUUUUUUUUCUUCUUGUUUUGCUUUUGAGGAGGUAUUAUCUUAUUAUUAAAAAAAUACUUCUUUAUAUGUGUGACCAAACACUUUUUCUUUGGUCCUGUGACCAUAUUAGAAUUUCUCUUUCUUGGUAAAAUAUCUAUAUGGUUAUUAUCAAGUAUUUUUAUGGUAAAAUUACCCUUGUUGUUCCAUAUCUUAAUUUCAGAUAACAAAUUCGUAUUUCUUUUUCCUGUCAUGUUCGUCAAUUUGAUCAAUUUGCAUAUGAAUUUUUAAGAUUCAAAUCUAUAGUUUUAUUUCAAUAUGAGUUUUUAGUGUUUAAAUUUAUGGUCCUUCACUUAUGUCAUUAUAAGAAUUUAAGAUUCGAUGCUUCGAAAUCCAUAUACAAACAAAUCAAACCUUAAAAAAUGACGUGAAAAAAAGAUAAAGGACGAAAUUGUUAUCUGAAAUCGAGUUAAAGGACGACAAAUGUAGUUUUGCUUUUUUUUUUAUUUAGUUUUGAAUUAGUUUUUUAUGUCUUUCAAGAGCAUAAUUAGAGAAACAAUUGACAAUGAUGUGUGGCUUUAAAGACAUUAUCUUGCUAAAAUAAUAAUCUAAGGCCAAGUCUAGGAUCCACACUUGGCACAUUUCAUUGUUGCAUGAUAUGCACUUGAUUUAUUGCAUAAUUAACACUUGGUUUAUUGCAUAUAAAUUAAAAAGUUUGUAUUACGAAACAAAGUUUCUCUGUUUUUCCAUACUUCUUGUUCUGAACUAUCUUGACACCAGAGCUCAAGUUCAAUGACUUGUAAGUGAAAAAAUUGACUAAAAUUAAUCUUAGGAUAGGGGAGUUUUUUUAUUAAGGAAAAGUAGACAUUGUCAUCAUGUUCACGAGGUCUAAAAACCUCGAAAUACGAAAUUUCGUGGCCAUAUUCCAACCCGGCGAGAAUAACAUAGGUCUAAAUAAUGAUCUAAAUGAUAGAAGCCCAAAUAAUGAUGAAAGACCAAAUCUUUGUAGGAUCCCCACAAUUGACAUAUUGCAUUGUUGCAUGCGUUAUAUCUAACUUUGUUUCAUGAUGUGUAUUUGGUUUAUUGAAUGAAUAACACUUGGUUUGUGGUAUGUAUUUCUAUUGACACUUAGUUUUUUGCAUGAAUAACACUUAACUUGAUGCAUGUGUUCCUCUUGACACGUGAUUUAUUGCAUAAAUAUCAUUUGAUGUACUGCAUGCAUUCCUCGUGACACUUGGGUUAUAACAUGAGUAACACACUAACACUUGACUUGCUUCAUAUAUUCCACUUGACAAAUGAUUUGUUGCAUGUGUUCCUUGUAACACCAUGUUUUCCCAACAUAUAAAUAAUAUAAAAUAAUUCAGAGUUCAUCGCAAACAGGAUGUCACAUUUCGUUCUUCAAAAUAUUAUUUAACACAAUUAGAGUUAAAAUCCACUCUUUAUUUAAAGAAACUACUUCCAAUAAUUAAAACAAUGUCGCAGCGGAAAAUAUUCAACGUUUAAACAAUAUUGGCACUAAGGCCUUAACGUCGUCAACAUAAUUAAUUCCAUCUAAAAAUGGUUCAACAAUAAGUUCAUAAAAAGAAUACGUGACAAUGGAAAAUAAAAUACAAUUAAUCCCAUCCCGUUACGUAUCAGAGCGACUCCUAAGACGACACGAGGAAUCAACUCACAUCAGCGGUUACUCUUGGUUAUCUGCACGUUACCCACGUAGAUGCAACAUUCAAACAGAAGGAUGAGAUUUCACAUUCAAUAACAAUAAGCAUAUAAUUAUAUAAAAGAAUUUAACAACACAAAAUAGCAUCAAUUCAUCAUUAACAAUACUAAUAAACAAUAAUUUAUGUGAGAGAAUUUAACAACUCGAAACAACGGCAAUUCAUUAUCAACAAUGCUUCACAUAAUUCCAACUACAAAUCAUCAAUUAAUUUUGCUCAACAAUGUAACAACAAUGACUCAACAAUGCAACAGCGACAACUCAACAAAGCAACAACAACGACUCAACAAAUGCAAUAUGCAUGUGGUACCAUCAGAGCAUCAAACUCUCUUCGUUAAUGUCGUAAUUCGACUUGACAGGCUACAGCCCCCUUCGCUUAAAAUUAACAGAGCAUCAAGCCCUCUUCACUUAGAAUUGAUAGAGCAUCAAGCCCUCUUCGUUUAAAAUUAUUAUGCAUUGUCACUACCAAUGCAACAACAACAACGACGACUUCGCAUUAUGACUUCAUAAUUCAUCAAUCAUGAACAACAUCAUAUAACAUCAUAUUCAUCAACAUAUACAUUCAUAUAAUAAUUCAUCAAUCAUGAACAACAUCACAUAACAUCAUAUUCAUCAACAUAAACAUUCAUAUAAUAAUUCAUUAAUCAUGAACAAUAUCAUAUUCAUCAAUAUAUACAUUCAUAUAAUAAUUCAUCAAUCAUGAACAAAAUCAUAUAACAUCAUAUUCAUCAACAUAUACAUAUAAUAAAUAUUAAAUCAUUCAACAAAGAUAUUCACAUCAAACCAAGACUACUGGAAAGAUAACACAAUUAUCAACAACUUUCAUGUUUACACCGAAAACCAACUCAAAAUAGAAACGUGUGAAACUGACGCAAGAACGCGAAACAGGGCAGUCUGCCACUGAACAUAACGCCAGGCAAAAAGAUCAUCCGCCAUGGUGAGCUCAAUCUAAUAGCUCUCGGGAACUUGACAUUUUUCACCCAAAAAUCUCAUUUUUAACUCCCCUAUGCCCAAAUUUGAUCCCAAAACUUGUCUAAACAUUUCUAAACAUGAAAAGGCACUCAAAACCAUAUAAAAUUUGGACCAAAACAUUAAUUUACAAAAUCACUAUUUUAUCACUGAACACCUCGCCAGGUGAGAAGAACAUUCGCCAUGGUGAGCUGACCUCUAAGCCACUCGCGAGGAGAGCAAGGUUCACUCGCCGUGGCGAGCGAUGACAGACAGCUCUACAGGGAUAAACAGUUUUCAGCCAAAAACCAAAAUUUUCAACCAUCCAAAUCCCAAAUUCAAUAGGAAACUCAACCUAUGUUUAUUCUAGAAUGAACAUCAAAUUGUACACUAAUUCAUUGAAUUAUCUACCUUUUUAACAAUCAAUUCCAAAUCAAAACCUAAUUUCUCUAAUCAUCAAAAUCAAACAACAACAACCAUGUUAAACCCUAUUUCAGAUUUAUAAACCCAUUAUUAGCGAAGCUAGUCCCACCCUUACCUUAGAUUUAUUGAAUUCGGACUCUACAAGCUUGCUCCUCUUCUCUUUCUCUGACUUCUCACUUUCUCCCUUUUUCUCCCAAAAGCAGUUUCUACGUAUUCUGACUCUCUAUUUUGUUGUAACCCUAAUUCUUUAAUGGUCUCAUCUAUUUAUAAUCACUAACUGAGUUUGUUUCUCACUUAAUAUAUCUCUCUUAUUCCAAUUCUGCCCUUAUGCCUCAUUAAUCUAAUUUAAUUAUAUUCCCUCACUAAUAAUGCUCAUAUUAAGCUACUAAUACUAACAUAUAAUGCAUCCCAUUAUUCAAAUAAAUUAUACAAAAAGACACUAAACUCGAUAAAAUAAAUAAAUAAUAAAAUGGGACGUUACAUUCCUUAUGAGCAUGGGCAGACGUCUUCAAGACACAGUGUGGCAAGUGCCACACUAGCCUAGGCCCCCUUUUUUUUUUGUUUUGUUAGUUUUACCGGUUCACUGUAUAAUUUUUACUAUAUAAUUUAUACAUGUGUCCAUAUUUUCACUCAUAUAAUAUGAAGACAUAUUUUUUUUUGUAAUUUAUUCAUGUAUCUAUAUUUUUACUCAUAUACUAAUAAGAUGACGUAUUUUUUUAAUUUAUACAUGUGUCUAUAUUUUAGCUUUUAUAUAUAUAUAUAUAGGGACCAAUUUUUUUAAAUUAUACACAUGUCUAUAUUUUUACUCAUAUUUUAUAAGAAAAUAAUUUUUUGUACAUAUGUAUAUAUUUUUAUUAAUAUAAACAAUACAAAGAUCUAUUUUUUUAAUUUUUACGCAAUUGCAAUUUGCUUCCAAAGAAAAGAGCGUAAUGCGCUCACCCGUUCGCAUGCACGGGUAUCAUGCUACAACACUUGAUUCUUCUCUUGUAACUUAUAUAGAAAGAGAUGUUCUUAGAAUAAUUAGUAAUGAUAUAAUUUUAGUUCAUUUUCAACAAAAAAAAAAAAAAAAAUUCUUUGUAAUUUUGGUUACUACAACUAUUUCUAAUAUAACUUCUUAUUAAAUUUAGUAUUAUCUGAUUAUUUGACAAAAAAAAUUUGCCCCACUAAUAUUGUUGGUCCAGAUCCGCCCCUGCUUAUGAGUCAUAGGUUAUUGUAUGGAUAACACUUGGCUUGCUGCAUAUAUUUCACUUGACACUUGGCUUGUUGCAUGUAUUGCUCAAGAUUCAUGACUUGUUUUAUUGCAUUGGUAACACUUAACUUGUUACAUGCAUUACUCUUGACAUUUGGUUUAUUACAUGAAUAACAUUUGGCUUGUUGCGUGUAUUCAUGUUGACACUUGAUUUAUUGGAUGGAUAACACUUGGCUAUUUGCAUGUAUUGCUCUUGUCACAUGGCAUGUUACAUGUAUUUAUCUUGAGUCAUCACACUUGGUUUAUUACAUUGGUUACACUUAGCUUGUUGCAUGCACUACUCUUGACACUUGGUUUAUUGCAUCGGUACAUAACACUUGGCUUGUUGCGUACAUUCCUCUUGACAUAUGGUGUAUUGCAUGAAUAACAAUUGGUUUGAUGCAUGUAUUCAUCUUGACACUUAGUUUGUUGCAUGAAUAACAAUUGGUUUGUUGCAUGCUUUCCUCUUGACACUUGGUUUAUUGCAUGAAUAACACUUGACUUGAUUCAUGUAUUUGUCAUUGCACUUGGGUUAUUGCAUGAAUAACACUUGAUUUUCUACAUGUACUCCUUUGGACACUUAGUUUGUUGCAUGAAUGACAUUUGGCAUGUUGCAUGUACUCCUCAGGACACUUAGUUUGUUGCAUGAAUAACAUUUGGCAUGUUGCAUGUAUUUAUCUUGACACUUGGUUGAUUGCAUGUAAUCCUUUUAGUUUUCAUACUCUUACAAAUAGGAGAUCAAAAUUCACUCUGUUCAUUAUUCAACCAUUAGAAAUCAAAAGUGAGUGUUUCAUAAGAGAGUGUCUCUGUUUUUCCAUUUUAGUUUUGAACCAUUCCAAUUUUUUUAUGCAGAAACUAUGUAGCACCGACACUUUAGAUUGAAUGUGUCUCUAAUGUCUAACACUUGACAGUGUUGGACACCGACACCGAGUACAUUAAAUUUUGCUGAAUAAGUAUGAUGAAAACUAUGAUCAUUGUUAGGGGUUUUGAUAUGGAUUUUUUUUUUCAAAAGCACAAAAUUGAUUAGCCAAGUGAUUUGUGAACUAUAGAGUUUGUAUUUUAAAUUAAUUUCUUGGCAGAGAAUCUAUUCACAUCUGUGCAUACAGAUUAGAUAUAUUUACACAUUUUAUAUGCAUGCCAUCUCAGUUGUUUGAAAAUUUGAUAUGCAAAACUUCUUGACUUUGUGUAGUUCUGCAUCAAAAUGGCGUCUGUGCAUGCUAAUGUGACAUCAGUUGUUUGCAAGAAUGGCAACCAUGAUUCUCAAUUGAAGUUCCCGAAUUCUGUGUUCUUGCCUCGGUUUGACGUUGUUGGACGCGCUUCAAAUGCUUGGAGGAAGGAACUAGCUCCAUCUUCCAUUGCUUUGGUACCUAGAGCCACAUUGGCAUUCGACCCUCCAACUACUAAUGCAGACAAAACCAAACCAAAGAAGUACACUGUUAACCCUGCUUCUCCUGAUUUUCUUCCACUUCCUUCCUUCGAAGAGUGCUUUCCAAAGAGCACAAAAGAAUCCAGGUAUAAUUUGUUUUCAUUAAAUACAUACUUUUCAAUAUCAAUGGACUUCGAUUACCAAUUGUUUGACUUUCUGUGCCUGUCGUUAUUACCAAACUUUCUAUGUGCGCGCUGUUAUAAUUAAUAUAUCAUCAUGUUUUCAGGGAAGUCGUUCAUGAGGAAAGUGGUCAUGUGCUCAAAGUUCCAUUUCGACGAGUUCACCUGUCCGGUGAUGAAUCACACUUUGAUAGCUAUGACACCAGUGGUCCGCAAAAUAUAAGUCCAAGGAUAGGUAUGAAAAUUAAGUUUAUUAUUUUCUUUCUGUGGCAUUUGCUUUAUAUCUCGCGUUUGUGAUGUAAAUUUUUCGUCACUAAUGUUAGAUUAAUAAGGACAGGUUUUGGAAUGUGGACCGGUUUACCUUGUCUCCGAGUUUCUCGAAUUCGCUAACAUUGUCCACUUGUUGUCAAUUGAUCUAGGAUCAUAUUUUCUAUUAACCAUUGUUGAAUUACUUUAUGUUUUUGCAAUAUAUUAAUUAGAAGUGAAACUUUGCCAAAUGAGUGUUUUCAUUUUUAAUGUUUCUAUCUAUCCAGACUUAUUUUUCUUAAAGUUAGCAUGGAAUAGCAUGAAGUAAUAUAAUUUAUGAAUCUUAUUUUGGUUACUUAUGUUUUUCUUUUCAUGGGUUUGAUCAUUAGGACUACCAAAAUUGCGCAAAGAGUGGAUUGAUAGGAGAGAAAAAAUAGGUGGUCCAAGAUUCACUCAGAUGUACUAUGCAAAGCAGGGAAUCAUUACCGAGGAGAUGCUUUAUUGUGCGACUCGUGAGAAGCUCGACCCAGAGUUUGUGAGGUCAGAAGUUGCCCGUGGACGAGCUAUCAUCCCUUCCAACAAGAAGCACUUGGAGUUAGAGCCGACAAUAGUUGGAAGAAACUUUUUGGUGAAAGUAAAUGCAAACAUUGGAAAUUCAGCAGUUGUAAGCUCUAUAGAAGAGGAAGUUUACAAGGUUCAAUGGGCGACAAUGUGGGGAGCUGACACAGUCAUGGAUCUCUCUACCGGUCGCCACAUCCAUGAAACGCGAGAGUGGAUCUUACGCAACUCUGCUGUACCAGUUGGGACUGUACCUAUUUAUCAAGCACUUGAGAAAGUUAACGGCAUUGCGGAAGAUCUUACUUGGGAGAUUUUCAGGGAUACCUUGAUUGAACAAGCUGAACAAGGUGUUGAUUACUUCACCAUCCAUGCUGGAGUACUUCUUAGGUAUAUUCCUUUAACUGCAAAGCGCAUGACAGGAAUAGUUUCUAGAGGAGGAUCGAUUCAUGCAAAGUGGUGCUUAGCUUAUCACAAAGAGAAUUUCGCUUAUGAGCACUGGGAUGACAUACUUGACAUCUGCAAUCAGUAUGAUGUGGCACUAUCCAUUGGUGAUGGUUUAAGACCUGGAUCCAUUUAUGAUGCAAAUGACACAGCUCAAUUUGCCGAGCUUUUGACACAAGGCGAGCUGACUCGUAGAGCAUGGGAAAAGGAUGUACAGGUGACAUAAAUUUACAAACUUUCUUGAUAGCUUGAUACUGAUAAAUUUUGGAAAUGUUGAAAUAAUUUCGCCUCAAUUUCAAUUUUGAUGUUGACCUUACAAUGUAUUAUUUGUAUGGGUAACUUCUGCUGAAUUCACCACUGCUACGUCGGCCAAUGAAAUUCCUAGUCUGCUUUGUCAAACUUAACUAGUACACCGUGCUUUUAACAAUUUUUUAUCAUACGCUGACCUAAUAUAUUUUAUACUACACGGCUACUGACUCAUCCUUUUGUAUGCUUUUCUUGAUAAACAUAAUAGAGGUUACAAAAUUUUAUGUUUUUAUUUAAAUAAAAUAGUUUAAUGAAGGGUGAUUUUGGAAGAGAAAAGGGCUACCGUCAAUAGAUUAGACUAUCAUUAGCUGAUGCGUUUUCUACCGACAAUAUAGAUUAUACUAUGAGUGCUUUCUACCAUCAAUAUAUUUCUCGAAACCAUGAGUGCUUUUAGUAUACUUUGAGUUGCUUUGCAGGUGAUGAAUGAAGGACCAGGACAUGUUCCAAUGCACAAGAUUCCUGAAAACAUGAAAAAACAGCUAGAAUGGUGUAAUGAAGCACCUUUCUACACUCUUGGUCCUUUAACAACCGAUAUUGCCCCUGGUUACGAUCACAUCACCUCUGCUAUUGGUGCUGCAAAUAUCGGUGCACUUGGUACUGCUCUUCUCUGUUACGUGACUCCAAAAGAACAUCUCGGGUUGCCAAACCGAGAUGAUGUGAAGGAUGGAGUGAUAGCUUACAAGAUUGCUGCUCAUGCUGCUGAUUU